GUGUGUGCAGGGCGUGGCUGCGGUCCAAAUGCGCCGGCAACCGCACCUCCAGGGACUUAUCCGCAAGGACUUUAUCAUAAAGUUUCUCCGGGUGGCUGGCAAAGUUGCUGUAAGACGGUUUGUGAUGGCAGCCUGCUAGGACUACACCGGGGGAAAAGGCCUUAAAAAAAUUAACACGGCUUUUGAGAGCACUGUGCGUCGUUGUGUGUUUGUGCGUGUAUCAGUCCGUGUUUAACUUAAUGAAGCUUUACACUUCGCGGGAUGGAGCCCCGGGCCUGACAUGUGUCAUAUUCAUUUGCUUGACAAGGCAUUCGAGAACUUGGACAGUUCAACCCCCUUCCAGGGACCUCCUCCGCCUCGUCUUCGCCUCCCACACACAGUGAAAACCCUUGUAUUAUGCAUAUAUCGAGUAACUGUCUCCCUCUGAUUUUAUAGCGCUGAUAAUGCAAUGUUUGCCCUGCUCCUUGGAUUUCGUCCCCAGUCCAUUGGCAAAUAAAAUGUUGUUCGCUAAGCUCAGAGAUUGUACAAAUGGUGAAACAAAAGGAAAGGAAGUGAAUGAACGAAGCGGCCCACAUUGUUGGGACCAAGUCUACUACCGCUUGGGAUCACCCAAGAAAGUAUGCUACACUUUCUAACAGUUUCCUGCUCACGGAAUCCAUUUUUAAUGAACAAAAAAAAGCUUUAAUUGAAACUAUCGCUUUUUCACAAGAAAAAUAAAUAUGUACGAAAAAUUUUUUUAGACUGUUUUGGAAAGCUUACAAGCUAGGAAUGCUGGUUCUGAAAAAUAAAAAAAUUCAAAUUUCUUUCAAAGCCGAAAA